UACGUAGGCAGCAAGCGUUGUUCGGAAUUACUGGGCGUAAAGAGUGUGUAGGCGGUUUUCUAAGUUCGGUGUGAAAUCUCCCGGCUUAACUGGGAGGGUGCGCCGGAAACUGGAGGACUGGAGUGCCGGAGAGGAUAGCGGAAUUCCUGGUGUAGCGGUGAAAUGCGUAGAUAUCAGGAGGAACACCGGUGGCGAAGGCGGAUCUCUGGGCCAUUACUGACGCUGAGGAGCGAAAGCGUGGGGAGCGAACAGG
rnacentral:rRNA from 1 species